CCAGUGGGAGCUUGCUCCCUGAGAGUUAGCGGCGGACGGGUGAGUAACACGUGGGUAACCUGCCUGUAAGAUUGGGAUAACUCCGGGAAACCGGAGCUAAUACCGGAUAACAUUUUGAACCGCAUGGUUCAAAAUUGAAAGAUGGCUUCGGCUGUCACUUACAGAUGGACCCGCGGCGCAUUAGCUAGUUGGUGAGGUAACGGCUCACCAAGGCGACGAUGCGUAGCCGACCUGAGAGGGUGAUCGGCCACACUGGGACUGAGACACGGCCCAGACUCCUACGGGAGGCAGCAGUAGGGAAUCUUCCGCAAUGGACGAAAGUCUGACGGAGCAACGCCGCGUGAACGAUGAAGGCCUUCGGGUCGUAAAGUUCUGUUGUUAGGGAAGAACAAGUACCAGAGUAACUGCUGGUACCUUGACGGUACCUAACCAGAAAGCCACGGCUAACUACGUGCCAGCAGCCGCGGUAAUACGUAGGUGGCAAGCGUUGUCCGGAAUUAUUGGGCGUAAAGCGCGCGCAGGCGGUUUCUUAAGUCUGAUGUGAAAGCCCACGGCUCAACCGUGGAGGGUCAUUGGAAACUGGGGAACUUGAGUGCAGAAGAGGAGAGUGGAAUUCCACGUGUAGCGGUGAAAUGCGUAGAGAUGUGGAGGAACACCAGUGGCGAAAGCGACUCUCUGGUCUGUAACUGACGCUGAGCGCGAAAGCGUGGGGAGCGAACAGGAUUAGAUACCCUGGUAGUCCACGCCGUA
rnacentral:rRNA from 1 species